rnacentral:rRNA from 1 species
AACAUCUAAGUACCCCGAGGAAAAGAAAUCAACCGAGAUUCCGAAAGUAGCGGCGAGCGAAAUUGGACUAGCCCUUAAGCUUUACACGCGUUAGACGAACGGUCUGGAAAGUCCGACGAUACAGGGUGAUAGUCCCGUAGUUGACGACGUGUGUUCAGUGAAAUCGAGUAGGGCGGGACACGUGAUAUCCUGUCUGAAUAUGGGGGGACCAUCCUCCAAGGCUAAAUACUACUGACUGACCGAUAGUGAACCAGUACCGUGAGGGAAAGGCGAAAAGAACCCCUGUGAGGGGAGUGAAAUAGAACCUGAAACCGUGUACGUACAAGCAGUAGGAGCAGGCUUGUCCUGUGACUGCGUACCUUUUGUAUAAUGGGUCAGCGACUUAUAUUCAGUGGCAAGGUUAACCAUCUAGGGGAGCCGUAGGGAAACCGAGUCUUAACUGGGCGUUCAGUCUCUGGAUAUAGACCCGAAACCAGGUGAUCUAGCCAUGGGCAGGUUGAAGGUUGAGUAACAUCAACUGGAGGACCGAACCGACUAAUGUUGAAAAAUUAGCGGAUGACUUGUGGCUAGGGGUGAAAGGCCAAUCAAACCUGGAGAUAGCUGGUUCUCCCCGAAAGCUAUUUAGGUAGCGCCUCGGACGAAUACUACUGGGGGUAGAGCACUGUUAAGGCUAGGGGGUCAUCCCGACUUACCAACCCUUUGCAAACUCCGAAUACCAGUAAGUACUAUCCGGGAGACACACGGCGGGUGCUAACGUCCGUCGUGGAGAGGGAAACAACCCAGACCGCCAGCUAAGGUCCCAAAUUACUACUAAGUGGGAAACGAUGUGGGAAGGCUCAGACAGCCAGGAUGUUGGCUUAGAAGCAGCCAUCAUUUAAAGAAAGCGUAAUAGCUCACUGGUCGAGUCGGCCUGCGCGGAAGAUGUAACGGGGCUAAGUAGUAAACCGAAGCUGCGGCAAUAUACUUUUGUAUAUUGGGUAGGGGAGCGUUCUGUAAGCGGUUGAAGGUGUGUGGUAACGCAUGCUGGACGUAUCAGAAGUGCGAAUGCUGACAUGAGUAACGAUAAAGGGGGUGAAAAACCUCCUCGCCGGAAGACCAAGGGUUCCUGUCCAACGUUAAUCGGGGCAGGGUAAGUCGACCCCUAAGGCGAGGCCGAAAGGCGUAGUCGAUGGGAAACGGGUUAAUAUUCCCGUACUUCUUACAAUUGCGAUGGGGGGACGGAGAAGGCUAGGUGGGCCUGGCGACGGUUGUCCAGGUUCAAGUGCGUAGGCUUAAGAGUUAGGUAAAUCCGGCUCUUUUUAAGGCUGAGACACGACGUCGAGCACCUACGGGUGUGAAGUCAUUGAUGCCAUGCUUCCAGGAAAAGCCUCUAAGCUUCAGAUUGUAAGGAAUCGUACCCCAAACCGACACAGGUGGUCGGGUAGAGAAUACCAAGGCGCUUGAGAGAACUCGGGUGAAGGAACUAGGCAAAAUGGUACCGUAACUUCGGGAGAAGGUACGCUCUCGACGGUGAAGUCCCUCGCGGAUGGAGCUAUUGAGAGUCGCAGAUACCAGGUGGCUGCAACUGUUUAUUAAAAACACAGCACUGUGCAAAAUCGUAAGAUGACGUAUACGGUGUGACGCCUGCCCGGUGCCGGAAGGUUAAUUGAUGGGGUUAGACUUCGGUCGAAGCUCUUGAUCGAAGCCCCGGUAAACGGCGGCCGUAACUAUAACGGUCCUAAGGUAGCGAAAUUCCUUGUCGGGUAAGUUCCGACCUGCACGAAUGGCGUAAUGAUGGCCACGCUGUCUCCACCCGAGACUCAGUGAAAUUGAAAUCGCUGUGAAGAUGCAGUGUACCCGCGGCUAGACGGAAAGACCCCGUGAACCUUUACUACAGCUUGGCACUGAACAUUGACCCUACAUGUGUAGGAUAGGUGGGAGGCUUUGAAGCACGUACGCCAGUAUGUGUGGAGCCGUCCUUGAAAUACCACCCUUGUAGUGUUGAUGUUCUAACGUCGACCCCUUAUCGGGGUUGCGGACAGUGCCUGGUGGGUAGUUUGACUGGGGCGGUCUCCUCCCAAAGAGUAACGGAGGAGCACGAAGGUGGGCUAAUCACGGUUGGACAUCGUGAGGUUAGUGCAAUGGCAUAAGCCCGCUUGACUGCGAGAAUGACAAUUCGAGCAGGUGCGAAAGCAGGUCAUAGUGAUCCGGUGGUUCUGAAUGGAAGGGCCAUCGCUCAACGGAUAAAAGGUACUCCGGGGAUAACAGGCUGAUACCGCCCAAGAGUUCAUAUCGACGGCGGUGUUUGGCACCUCGAUGUCGGCUCAUCACAUCCUGGGGCUGAAGUCGGUCCCAAGGGUAUGGCUGUUCGCCAUUUAAAGUGGUACGCGAGCUGGGUUUAGAACGUCGUGAGACAGUUCGGUCCCUAUCUGCCGUGGGCGUUGGAAGAUUGAAGGGGGCUGCUCCUAGUACGAGAGGACCGGAGUGGACGAACCUCUGGUGUUCGGGUUGUGUCGCCAGACGCAUUGCCCGGUAGCUAAGUUCGGAAUCGAUAACCGCUGAAAGCAUCUAAGCGGGAAGCGAGCCCUGAGAUGAGUCUUCCCUGAUACUUUAAGUAUCCUAAAGGGUUGUCGGAGACUACGACGUUGAUAGGUCAGGUGUGUAAGUGCUGUGAGGCAUUGAGCUAACUGAUACUAAUUGCCCGUGAGGCUUAACCAUACAACAC